CCUUACUUCAGGGAUCCCCCCCCCAAGAAAUUCCCCUCCAGAGAGUUCAGCCCAGUCUAACGUGGAGGAGGGCUCCCAGCCCCCUCCCCUCUCACCCCGAAACACACCUGAUCCAAAACACUGUUCCUCUUCUCAAGUCACACUCUCUCAGCCCCCAUCCCAGCCGUUCCUUUGAAGCCUGAUGCCCCCCCCCCCAAUAUUGUAUCUGCCCCUGCCACUCAACUCCUGCUACAUUCUGAGUUUUCCUCAGAUGGGAAGAAUCACCCCACCAUUCCCCCUCCUUCUCUUGCCCCCACCAGGCUCUCUCUCUCUCUCUCUCUCUCUCUCUCUCUCUCUCUCUGCGCCCAUUCCUCUCUUGGAGAGAGAGGAGAAGGAGGGGCCGCGGGGAGAUUGUGCAAAGAGGACACUUUUUUCUCUUCCUGUUUUUGGAGGGGCAAAGGGGGGAGGGGGGCAUUUCUUUAGCCCCUUCUGUUUCUUAAUUUCCCCUUUUCUUUCUCUCCCAUCUGGGAAGCAUGGCAAAGGAUUUGGGUGGGGGAGGGGGACUCCCAGAAAAGUGUUGGUUUAAAAGCCACCAGUGAUAUAUAGUUUUCUGGGAAGGAGGGCUGGAAUGGACUAGCUUAGUGCUAUGCUCUCUCUCUCUCUCCCUUUUCUUCUGUGCCAUCUCACCUCCCUAUUUUCAAAGGUUCAAGCCCUAAUAUUUUGUGACCCCCCCCCCCAGAGAAAUCCUGCUGCUUCUGUGGUUUUAACUUUUUCUUGUCUCUCUCUUCUCAAACCUCCCUUAUCUUAGGGAGAAAGGGGGGUGGAAGAAUGGAUUUAUUUUUCUAUAUGUGAGUUUUUUUUCUCUCUCUCUCUUCCACUUCAUGUUUUCCUAGGCCAAAAUGCACUUCAACAUUCUCCUUUUUCAAAGCUUUCUCCCCCCCCCCUUCCUUCCCCUGUAAAGGGGACUCCCAUUUCUCCUUAUAAACAUACAGUCAAAAUCCUGGUUUACUUUUAUAGUAAAGGCACUCUUUCACUCUCCACAGUUCCCCAACAAUCUCCUUUCUUCCUUUCGGGUCCUUCUCCCUCCCUUUCCCUGAGUGCAUGCGUGUGAAUGUUCUAAAAAUCCCUCUAACUGCCUUUAAAAUAUGAGGAGGGCAUUAGAGUCCAGGGGACCUUCCAGGCACAGCUGAAGAGAUCCAGAGGACCGGACCCAACCACCUGACUGAGGACACAGACCAGACUGCAAGACCCAUAAUCCAUACCUGCCACCAUGAACAGUUCUAAGACCUGGGUAGGGGCUCUCGGAGUGCGCUGUGGAUUUCAUGCAGCAGCUAGAACCCAGAGGCCAUUGGAGAUGGUCCUGUGAGGGCUUUUAUGGCCAGACCACCGUAUGGUGCCCUCCAGCUGGCCUGGUUCUGCCCUGGCAAAGGGCUACUGAGUGCAGGUCUGCCUUUGACGCUGCCAAGGAGGCCCUCAUGACAUCACCAGGGGACAGAAUUGGCCGCCAUGGCAGAAGAUGUCCCAGAAGAAGUGAACAGGAUUCUACCAGUGACCACCAUGAGGGAAGGAUGUUCCGCCCUCACCAGAGCUGUGCCAAAGAAGGACCCCAGGACUGCUGGAGCCCUCACAAGGUAUGAGUGACUUCCCUGACUAACCCCACCACGGGAGGGAGGGGGGCUUAUAAUCUGUCCUUAGUUUCCCUAGGCACUCUCUCCUUCCCGUCUCCUCUGUUGGAGUGCUGGACCUGCCUGCAGUCACCAGGAGGCGCCGUGCUGUGAGGCGCAGAAGCUGUGCCCAGUUGUCCCCAGCUGCCAACUACAAAGGGGGGCCCAAGCUGCAGCCAAGAAAAGGCAGCCAAAUGGGAGUACUGCAUCACAGCCUCCAUCAUCCCCAGCCCUCACCACCUCCACCUUCAUGCUCCAUUUCCCAUGACUCCAGACCAAGGGACAUCUGCUUCAACACCAUGGGAUCACCCACCACUGACUGAACCUCAGCUUUCACCUCUUCAAGCUCCUGCCCUCCAACCAAAAGGCACAAUCUGAUCUACCAAGGCAAAGGCCCUGCAUGCAGUGAAAUGUCGGGGCUUUGGGAAAUGUUCAUAGCCAUUUCCAAGCCCCGAAGGGGGGAAAAUGUGAUCGAGAUGACCACUCUCCCCCCCCCCCCCAGGACUUUGUAAAAGAUAGUUCAAAAGUCAAGACUUUAUGUUCUAUAUUCCAUAUAUUUAUAGUAGAAGGUGAUUGAGACUUUUUACUGGAGUUUACUGUGGAUUAUCCCUGCACUCUGAGGCAAGAGAUAACAACUUCAUGAAUUGUAAAAUCAUGCUGCUAAAACUCCACUUUUAUGAAUUUCCAUAUUGGGUUCCCCAGAUGUUAUGAACUUCGUAUUUAUCAAAUGUCUUUCAAUUGUUUAUAUCAUUCAUGAUUCCCCCUUAUGCAAUGUAACUCACUUUUAUGGAUUCUCCCUUAUUUCCAUGAAAUCUAUCUGUCUGCCUAUAUGUAUUUGUACUCUUUGGGAUCCCCGGAAAAUAUGUAUUUUUCCCAGCAGGGUUUAUAUUCCAACUUUGUUUUAUUUUUCAUUUUAUUUCAUAUAAUUGUCAAGUCAUGAAAUCAAAUAGGAAAUA